rnacentral:sRNA from 1 species
UCUUGUCAUUACAGUACUGGCGCUACAAGACACCUGGUGUUUUCUGAGUGUUUAAUAAGAUUUGUUCUGUGUUUUCUUUUUCUCCCUUCUUUCUGCGAUAGGAAAUAUUGUUUCGUCACGAUUUCGUUCCCGGCUCUGAUCGGAAAUCACCGAAUGAAGAUUUCACUCUUCCGUUAGUAGCGAUUGUGUGUUGGAUAUAACGCUUCUCUUAUACUUCUUGUUUGAGAUGUGCAGUGCUGACAAUCUUAUGUAUGGAAUUUAUUUCAGGGGAUAAUGGUUUGCUAAAUUGUUGAAAAGAUUGCAUGAAAAUUGAUCACAGUUUCAAAGGAGAUCAAAUCUCGGCAGUCACGUGUCCUCAAGCCAACUUGGAGUUAUCUCCUCUAUUAUUUCUAAAUUCGUCAAGUGUUGUGGAUUACGUUCUCUUGGAUUAGACAAGAUUAUCUCUGAGACUGGAUUAGUAAAAAAAAAAAAAGUGUGCGCCCAGCUAAGACUACAACAACUUCCGGUCAGUGUGUGUUUGGCUCAGGUUUCCUAUACCCAUUGGAACAAACAUCCUAGUGCGCUUGUGGUGUAG